AUGGACGGAGACAACAGUGGUGUGCACAAUGAAUUUGACCUCUUCAUGACAAGCACACACAACCACCUACUCCAGCACAACCAUAGUGAUGAGAUGGAUGACUUGCUUGGAGCCUCUACUAUCGUGGGCAACACUGAUGAUGCCAACGUUGUUGUUGCAGACCACGAAAACAACGAUGGAGAGACCCAUAGUGAGCAGAGAAUGGCCACAAGGCGUGCAAAGUAUCAUCGUCUGCGCAGUGAACAAAUCCAACAACUUGAAGCUGUGUUCCGGGAUUGCCCUUAUCCAAAUGAGAAACUCCGGAAGGACCUUAGCGAGAGGCUUGGCAUGAGUGCCCAACAGGUCAAGUUUUGGUUCCAAAAUAAACGCACCUUCAACAAGGGCAAGAUGCAGCAGUGGGAGACCCAAAAUUGUUGGGUAGAAAACGAGAAGCUGAAAACUGAACGUCAAGCCAUCAUGUUGGCUAUGCAAAACAAGACUUGCCUCAAAUGCAGAGGGGUGAUGGUACAAACACAGCAUACUUUGGAGUUCCAAUUCCUAUACACCGAGAAUAUGAGGCUCAAGGAAGAACUCCUACAUGCCACUGCCUAUCUUAAAGAGGGUCUUCGCCGAAAUGGCAUGUCGCUCCCAUCGGCCCGCGACUGA
rnacentral:rRNA from 1 species